GCCUGGAAGGGUGGAAGGAGCCCAUGGCCUUCUGUCAGGUGCUGAGACAUCUUCAGGAACCAAUCAUUUAGCAAAGGACAGCAACCCUCACUCACCCUGGGGGAGGACACAUUCCCAGCCAACCAAAUGACCACGUGUAUAGAACGUGACAUCUCUUGAGCUACUGGAACCUGCCCCCUCAGGGACAAGAGUAUGACAGAUAACGACCACUGAGUUAUCCACAAACAUGUAUUUCUAGUCUGUUUUUCAGUGGUCUCUCCAUCCUCAUUUGAAAAUGUGAAAGAAAAGUGGAUGCCUGAGAUAACUCACCACUGUCCAAAGACUCCUUUCUUGCUUGUUGGGACCCAAAUUGAUCUCAGAGUUUCUCUAUUAUUGAGAAACUUGCCAAGAACAAACAGAAACCUAUCACUCCAGAGACUGCUGAAAAGCUGGCCCGAGAUCUGAAGGCUGUCAAGUAUGUGGAGUGUUCUGCACUCACACGCAAAGGCCUAAAGAAUAUGUUUGAUGAAGCAAUAUUGGCUGCCCUGGAACCUCCAGAACUGAAGAAGAGCUGCAGGUGUGUGCUGCUAUGAACAUCUCUCCGGAUCCCUUUCUGCACAGCUGGUGUCGGCAUCAUACUAAAAGCAAUGUUUAAAUCAAACUAAAGAUUAAAAAUUAAAAUUCGUUUCUGCAAUAAUGACAAGUGCCCUUCACCUACCCACAUGCACUUGUGUGAGACAAGGCCAAUAGAUCCAGUAUUUGAUGAAACUCAUGAAAGUGGGCGGAAGCUGCCUUGCCCCUCCUGUCUUCUAGGAUGCACUCUGUGUGUGACUGUGACUUUCAAGGAAAUUUGUUUGCCAUUUGCUAAUUUCUUUUUUGAAGUUAAUUUUAACUUCUUUCACUGAUAAAUAAAGAAAAGUAUUGCAUCUUUUGAAAUACACCAAAUGGAUUGAGUUUGUAAUUUA